rnacentral:rRNA from 1 species
GGCGUGCUUAACACAUGCAAGUCGAACGAUGACCCGGUGCUUGCACCGGUGAUUAGUGGCGAACGGGUGAGUAACACGUGAGUAACCUGCCCUUAACUCUGGGAUAAGCCUGGGAAACUGGGUCUAAUACCGGAUAUGACUCCUCAUCGCAUGGUGGGGGGUGGAAAGCUUUUUUGUGGUUUUGGAUGGACUCGCGGCCUAUCAGCUUGUUGGUGAGGUAAUGGCUCACCAAGGCGACGACGGGUAGCCGGCCUGAGAGGGUGACCGGCCACACUGGGACUGAGACACGGCCCAGACUCCUACGGGAGGCAGCAGUGGGGAAUAUUGCACAAUGGGCGCAAGCCUGAUGCAGCGACGCCGCGUGAGGGAUGACGGCCUUCGGGUUGUAAACCUCUUUCAGUAGGGAAGAAGCGAAAGUGAC